rnacentral:lncRNA from 1 species
UUUUGAGGAAAAUCAAGAGAAAUCAAGAAAUCAGGCAUUAAAAAGGUAAAUUUAAUUGAUUUUCCUUGUGAUUUUCACUACCCAUGCAUUUUUUUCUCAUUUUCAUGCAAAAUUAGAAAGUGAGAAUGGACACCCAUGCUGGCCAAACCUCCAUGGAUGAGUUUUGAACUUGAGUUUUGGUUGAUUUUAAUUGAAUUAAGUGAUUUUAGUUAGGUUAUAUUGAAAUAUAGCAAAAAUAAGCUAGAGAAAUAAUUUUCUCCCAUUGAAACCCAUUAUGCCGAAUUUUCUAAGGGAAUAUUGUCUGCUGAUCUUGAUGUUUAUUUGAGGAAUUAUGAUGAAUAAUGAUGAAUUAUGAGCCUAGAAAAAUAAUGAGAAUUUUCGGAGCAAAAAUACUAAUUUUUACCCAUUAGGGGUAUUUUCGUAAUUUACUAUCGAGACUGAUAAUUUGCACCACACUGAGAAAUAUUAAGUCAAUUUGGGUGCAAUUGAGGUAUAGAAACUGAAAAAAAUUAAUUUGGAGUUUAAACGGACGCGUAUAUCGAUUUAUCGGGUAAAAGACCGAAAUAUGCUAACAUCUCGUUUAGGCAAAAUUUAGACAUUUUGCACUUCAUAUCAUGCAUUAGUAGUAUAAAUUAGUUUUAUUUUGGUUUAGUACCAAAGUUGUAAACCUCUUAAUUGUGCAAUUUGUCAAGAUGGCGAAUCCUCUGGCAAGGGCAAAGAAAUCGCACCCGAUGAGUAAUAGUUGGAGUACCCGAAUUUAGUUUUCGAAAACUGUGAGUAAACUUAUUGUCGUCUUAAUUAUCUAGAGUAGUUUUAUACAAUUAUGUGAUUUUAUGAAAAAUGGGUUUAAAUGGUAAAUUGCUAUGUUUUAAGAAAAAUUGUGAUUUUAUAAAAUGAUUUUAUAAAUUUUCUGAAAAAUCGAAUACUGAUUUUGAAAAUAGAGUAAUUGGAGACUGCCUGCUUGUGUUGUAAAUUUAUGGUUUUAAAUUGAAUGGCUUAUGACAAUAUAUGAGCAUGAAUGGCUAAACUGAUUUUGAAGUUAGAAUUAUUUAUACUGUGUAUUCAGCCUUGUGAGGCUAGGUUGCGAUAAAUUGCCUUGUCAUGCUAGAAUGAAUUUUAUUGAUUGGUGGAGUAUAUAUUAAUUAUUCACUGCAUAGGGGGUUCCGUGGACCAGCCUAUUAGAGGGGCACGGUAAACUCCAUUAUAUUCUUACCUCGAACGGAGAGGCGCGUAGGGUAUCUCCUGAGGUAAAGUUUAGGGUUCACUUCACGCCAAACCACCACGUGAAGGGGAACUCAGCCAACGCUAAGGAAUGACUGUAUUUUUCUCAAGCUAAAAAUAUAUUUUAAGUGUAUACAAAAAUUUUAACAGCCUUGGCGGACUCGGUUGGAUGCCCUGCGCAAGGUAUCACCGAGUAUGAGUUUUGGCACGAGCCAAAGUUUUAAGAAAUUCAUAAGCCAAGUUGAUUACUCGAUUUAUAUGGAUUGAUUUUAUUUGGUUGAAAUGAGUGUAAAGGUAAUGAAAUUACAAUAUGAUUACUUAUUUCAAUUGUCUCUAUUUACUCGCCUUUAGAUAGUUUAGAUGGUGUCUGUUUACUCACUGGGAUUUUAUAAUCUCACCACCCUCAAUUUCCCACAUUUCAGGUUCGGGAUAGCUAGUAGAUAGCCGAUUGCAUCAAGGACUUCAGUUAGCCUUGCAUUGUCAAAAUUAUAGGUUCA